UACGGGGGGAGCAAGCGUUGUUCGGAUUUACUGGGCGUAAAGGGCGCGUAGGCGGCCACGACAAGUCACUUGUGAAAUCUCCGGGCUUAACUCGGAACGGUCAAGUGAUACUGUCGGGCUAGAGUGCGGAAGGGGCAACUGGAAUUCUCGGUGUAGCGGUGAAAUGCGUAGAUAUCGAGAGGAACACCUGCGGCGAAGGCGGGUUGCUGGGCCGACACUGACGCUGAGGCGCGAAAGCUAGGGGAGCGAACGGG
rnacentral:rRNA from 1 species